CAAAAAAUAAUGUAAUCCGCCUCGAUGUAAUGUCGUCGAUGUACCUAAAACUCGAUGUAAUCGCAAUUUUUUGAUGCGAAAUCACACAAUUUCGAUGCUAUAUUACAUCAUCAACGAAAUUACAUAAAAAUUCUAUACCUAAAUGCUUUUACGCCAAAUCUGUGUAAUAUUGACAUCGAAAGAAUGUUAAUAUUACACAGAAAAAGGUGCAACCAAGCGGUUACAAUAUUUGAGGGACAAAAUUACACAACUCGAUGUCAUAUCGCAUCCGUUCACGAUGCGAUAAUAAGUCGCGCAACACUGACGGUGUUGUGAUCGAUCAAACAACCGGUCGGCCAUGUUUUAUCGUGCGAGUUUUCAAGAAGAUACGUUUGCUGCAAUUUUUCACUGGUUUUCUGUACUAAUUUGAAUCCGGCGAAAAUGUGAAGCAUCUGAGGAUUGCAGUACAAGGCGGAGCUUGCGCCUGCUGUUUUAGGUGUCGGGGUGCCAGUGGCACCAUCGCCAGCAAAUCCCUUUGCAUCGUCUAGAAAGGCGAGAACCGACGACCGAUACCUCUACUCUAGAUGGAGUCUUCCGGAGGCAAAUUCGCCUGGCACAACAUAUAAUAUUGAGUCAGCAGGAGGCGCACUUGCAUGCUGUGGCGGAGAACCUACACAUCCGAGAUAAAAACCGGACGCCGGCUACGUAUGGACCGUCGGAUGGGCAUCAGUCAGGAAGACGCAACAGUAACACCUGUAAGAAGGGCUUGAACGAUUGUGUCGGUCGACUUGGCGCUAUCGGUGUUCCCCGUAGGGCAGUUUUGAGCGACUAUUGCGAUAUGGUCAUCGUCGCUGAUGAAGGAGCUGAAUCUGGUCGAGGUGCUAGCUUUUAUUCCUUUGCUGUAAUAAUGACCUCGACGGAGUUGAAUCCGGCGGACGCGGGUGUUUGCUCCACCAGUUUACAUCCGACCAUCGGGGGCCGGCCCCACUGAGAAUGAUUUGACGAUGAAGCAAAGCGAGAUUGGAGUGGAGUGAGUGAGUGGAACUAAUUCGGCUGAUUCAGGAGAAAUGGAAUUAGUUGUCCUUAACUGUGCACUGUACUUCAAAAGUGGGCUGCCUAAAAUUCCGUCCCUAAAAAGCCGACAUGCGGCAUUAAGCAGCGUUUGAAGGGCAAAAAGGUUCGAUUCUGAUAAAAUCUGUCCGACAAGCAAGUAUUUCUCCGUCCGUAUCGUAUGCUAGGAUCCCAAUUUGAUUCAUCAGGUGAGAAUGCCCGUUCGGAUGACUAAGGUUCCCAUAUUUGCGGAACGAGUGAACACGGUCAACAUAAAUAAAAUGCGUCAGUUAAACACGGGACGAGGAGCAUCUCAGUGCAAACUACGUCCAGCAGAAAGGAAGUGCCUAUAGAAGGCAACAAUACAAAGUUGCCCAGAGGCUGAAAUGCGGAGAUUCGUGGAACGCCACCUCAUGGACGGUGAGGUGGUGCUGUUUGACCGUCAGCCCAUAAGUAUUGCACCAAGUAUCAUGUGUCACGUGGCCAAGGUUCAAUCGCAGCGUACGCUUCAACGAGUGUGUUCUGCCGUACAAUGCCGAUUUCGAUGGGGAUGAAAUGAAUUUGAUUGAAGGUGCCCGCACUGAAACUUUGAUGCUAAUGGUGGUGAGUAUCCUUUCUAGUAGGAUGAAAUCAAGAGCACCCUGCUGCACAAGUAGAACUUCGAAUAGAACAGAUUUCAUACGUCUGUUUUUAAUAUUAUAAAUGGCUGUUUUUCUUAAGCGGAUUGAAACAGAAAUUGCACAUUUUCCUAAAAUCAGAUUUAUAUUUGUUUCUGCAGAAUAUUGAGGAUUUCUGAGGAUGUUUGAUUUGAGACAAACGUUAAUUUGUUUUCAUAAUGUAAACGCUCUUUCAUUUGCUCAGGAGGAUGAUCCCCAUUUCUUCCUACUCUAAACAAACGAUCAUUUUUGUAUUGUUUCUGUACUUAUAAACAUUAUUUUUUACCAAUAAACACAGCCACCAUGCAAACGAAUCGAACCAUGCAAGAGCCAUGCUGAUCGGUUCAUCCGUUCGUGAGUUUUGUUGCCACAAAGGGACCUAAAACUCAUUUA